rnacentral:rRNA from 1 species
UACGUAGGGUGCAAGCGUUGUCCGGAAUUAUUGGGCGUAAAGAGCUCGUAGGCGGUUUGUCGCGUCUGUCGUGAAAGCUUGGGGCUUAACCCCAAGUCUGCGGUGGAUACGGGCAGACUAGAGGCAGGUAGGGGAGAACGGAAUUCCCGGUGUAGCGGUGAAAUGCGCAGAUAUCGGGAGGAACACCGGUGGCGAAGGCGGAUCUCUGGGCCAUUACUGACGCUGAGGAGCGAAAGCGUGGGGAGCGAACAGG